rnacentral:rRNA from 1 species
CCUACGGGAGGCAGCAGUGAGGAAUAUUGGUCAAUGGACGAGAGUCUGAACCAGCCAAGUAGCGUGAAGGAUGACUGCCCUAUGGGUUGUAAACUUCUUUUAUAAAGGAAUAAAACGAGGCACGUGUGCCUUUUUGCAUGGACUUUAUGAAUAAGGAUCGGCUAACUCCGGGCCAGCAGCCGCGGUAAUACGGAGGAUCCGAGCGUUAUCCGGAUUUAUGGGGUGUAAAGGGAGCGUAGAUGGGUUGUUAAGUCAGUUGUGACAGUUUGCGGCUCAACCGUAAAAUUGCCAUUGAUACUGGCAGUCUUGAUUACAGUUGCGGUAGGCGUAAUUCGUGGUGUAGC